UGUCCUACGGGAGGCAGCAGUGGGGGAUAUUGCACAAUGGGGGAAACCCUGAUGCAGCGACGCCGCGUGAGUGAAGAAGUAUUUCGGUACGUAAAGCUCUAUCAGCAGGGAAGAAUAAUGACGGUACCUGACUAGGAAGCCCCGGCUAACUACGUGCCAGCAGCCGCGGUAAUACGUAGGGGGGCAAGCGUUAUCCGGAUUUACUGGGUGUAAAGGGAGCGUAGACGGCGGUGCAAGCCAGAUGUGAAAGCCCGGGGCUCAACCCCGGGACUGCAUUUGGAACUGUAUGGCUGGAGUGUCGGAGG
rnacentral:rRNA from 1 species